GACGAACCGUCCAAACGUUAUUCGGAUUCACUGGGCUUAAAGGGUGCGUAGGCGGCUCAGAAAGUAGGGUGUGAAAGCCCUCGGCUCAACCGAGGAAUUGCGCCCUAAACUACUGGGCUUGAGGAACGCAGAGGUAAGCGGAACUUACGGUGGAGCGGUGAAAUGCGUAGAGAUGUGGAGGAACACCAGUGGCGAAAGCGGCUUCCUGGUCCAGCACCGACAUUCAGGCACGAAAGCGUGGGGAGCAAACAGG
rnacentral:rRNA from 1 species